rnacentral:rRNA from 1 species
AGGGUUCGAUUCUGGCUCAGGAUGAACGCUGGCGGCGUGCUUAACACAUGCAAGUCGAACGGAGUUUAUAUGAAACCUAGUGAUUAUAAACUUAGUGGCGGACGGGUGAGUAACGCGUGGGUAACCUGCCUUAUCCAGGGGGGAUAACAGUGAGAAAUUACUGCUAAUACCGCAUAAGCGCACAGAAUCGCAUGAUUCAGUGUAGAAAAGAUUUAUCGGGAUAAGAUGGACCCGCGUCUGAUUAGCUAGUUGGUGAGGUAACGGCCCACCAAGGCGACGAUCAGUAGCCGGCCUGAGAGGGUGAACGGCCACAUUGGACUGAGACACGGCCCAAACUCCUACGGGAGGCAGCAGGUGGGGAAUAUUGCACAAUGGGGGAAACCCUGAUGCCAGCGACGCCGCGUGAGUGACGAAGUAUUUCGGUAUGUAAAACUCUAUCAGCAGGGAAGAAAAUGACGGUACCUGACUAAGAAGCCCCGGCUAACUACGUGCCAGCAGCAGC